AUGUCCAUUUUGAGUUUUAGGGAGCUCAUUGGUAGGCUUAGUUGACCGUUGGGUUGCCAGCCAAGUCAUGCGACCACCGGACUAGGCACAGGCAUCAGUGCGAGUGUGGGCAAUCUUAUUAGGCUGCAGCAGAUGGACAAAGGCCAGCAGUCGGCGGUGCUGCCCUCUCUCCAUUUCCCCGCAUAAGUGUGGCAGUUCUUGUUGGCCGGCCGCAAGUUUUCUUCCUCAUUUGUUUUGUGUUUAAGUGUUUGUUUUGUAGUUGUGUGUAUGGGUGCAUGCAUGUGUGUUUUGUGUUUGGUAAUAUUGUGGUAGUGUACGUUUUGCUUGUUGGUUGCAUUUUAGUUUGAGUGGUGUAUCGUUUUGCGCACUUUGUUUGUUAGUUUGUGUUUUAUGCGCCCGAUUUGGAGGCGCAGGGUAUGCAGGCUUCUACACUACAUAUAGCUUGGCAGAUGCGUUCUCUUUUCCUUUAUUUUUAGUGUGUAUCAAAAUUGUUAUAGUUGUAGUUUUGAUGUAUGUCUUGAGAUUUUUGUUCCAUUAGUUGGUUAAUUUAUGUGGUAAUUUAGUUUUGGAUUUUAAAUAGUACUAGUUAUUUUGAAUUUGUGCUUUUUAUUAGAUGAUGAAUUGUGUUAAUUUGCAAA